CGGGUUUUUUUUAACUGACUCUCAUCAUAAGUAAGUGCUGAAACGCUGUUUUGAAUUGUGGGAAGCCUGUGGUACUGGGGAGCGAAGGCUCAAGCCUUUCCAAGCUGCUGGAGGGACUCCUCAUCCACUGUACCCACUGUCCCUGUCAGUGCAUGCCAUGGAACACUUUUUCCCUUCAUUUUUUGUUGAUCACUUUUGUUUUAUCACUUCCCCAAUUUACAAGCACCCUUGCUGUUUCUUCCCUUCACACGGCCCCAGAGAGGGGUUUUUCUGGGCCAAGACAUUCAUUCUUGGGUGUUUGCUGCAGAGGAGCUCCUGAUUUUGGCUUUUUGACCCCGGCCAGGUGCCAGGUCCCCUUUCUGCUUGUUGGGCUGCCCUGCACAUUUAGGAAGUACUGCAGGAGAAAGGCAAGGCUAUCUUUCUUCACCGAGCAAAGGACUGUAGAGGCUUCUCGGGAUCCCCUCAGCCUUUCGGCCCGCACAGCACCGCUGCCAGAAAGCAGGAUUCACAGGCGACCACGGAGAGCCACUGUCACGGGGGACCCCGGGGCUACCAGGAGACCUCAGCUCCUCCUUCGGGUGGAUUGUUUGCAAGCGUGAGACACACCUGCGAAGGGAUGGUAGGUAUCCCCCUGCAUCAGCCGCCUGCAAGAGCCGCCUUCACCAAGAGCACCUAAACACCGAGCUGCUCUUGCUUUCCUCCCAAACGGGAGAGGAAAGCAAUCCUCUCUGCGAUCCCCGCUCCCUCAGGUCCGGCAUGUCGCCGCUCUGGGUGAGGAAAAAGGGAACAGGGAGCAGCUGUGAUCCCGGACCUCCCCCCAGCUAAGCCCUGCGGUUCACCCCUCGCCCCGGUGUGUGGGCUGAGCCCUCCCCGCCCCGGCUCCGGGAGAUGGGAUCUGCCCGCGGGAAUCCCCCACGCAGCCACUGCGGGCGCUUCCCCGGCCCUCGGCAGCAUAAGGGCUCCGGCACCAACAUUUAUUUUUCUCCUAGAAGUACGGUCUGGAAACAACCCGAGCGGGGAGAGCAGGCGAUACCUGGCAGUCAUGUUCGGAGUGUUUCUGGCGCUGCCUGAGGAUUGCCCCAGCGCUUGAGCAAUGGCGCGGGCGGCCAGGAGGGGAACUCCAGCCACCGCAGGUCGGUGAGGAACGAGCGGGUUCCUGCCAGACCGCAAAUCCCUAACGAGCCAGCCAGGCAGGGCUGUUUGCAGCAGAAAAACAGGAGUUUGUCAAAAACAAACCUCUCUGCAGGAGCUCUGGGAUGAAAUUGCAUGCCAUAUACCCCGGUUUAUUGCCUCCGGGGCAUUAGCCGUUGGCAGGAUAUUUUGGCUAAUAUUUGACAGCCUGAGCAUUCGUCCCUGAACACUCAGCAGGACAGUGUUUGCCGACCGCUCCCCUCCAGCCCUGUCGAACAGCAUUUGCAACGGGUCUUCCAAGCAGGUGCCUUUUCUCUGUAGCCUUUUGAAUUCAGACCAGCAGCCAUCCAAAGCCAUUCGACAGAUAUGUUGCUGUUCAUCCAUAUCUGUAUGAACAGCAACAGCGUGUUCCACACACGGUGGAUUGCUCUUGCCUCCCAAUCUAGCUGUGCUCUUAAAACUAAAGCCAUGAUACAUUACACAUCACUGACCUUUAAGGUACAUGUUUUUUAAAGGAUUUUCCCUUCAACAAGGCAGAAUUCUCCCAAAUUAUAGUAUAGUUUAAUUUUUCUGAGUGUUCUGAAAAUAGGGGAUUAAGACAGGGAAGGCAGCAGACAAAGAGAGGUUUGCUUGUUUACAAGUUAAAGUUUAAAUGGGCUUGCUGUAUUGUAAAAAUGAACACUAUUCUAAGUCAUUGCAGGGUAUCUGCAAUAGAUUUGGAGAGGUUCCUUUCACAUAUGGAAAUAUACAAAUAUAAACAGAGGUUGCAGUUCCACCUAAGAUAAAAACUGCCUGCUACUUCUCCUGAGAUUCUACUGCCUAUUGCUUAGAACUUUGCCAAAUUGGAAUUAUUUGGAUCAAAAUGUUCUGUGACAGAUGUUUGUGCAAGUCUGAAGGUUUCAGGGAAUUCUCAGUGUGUUUUUUCCUGAGAAUAAAAUGCAGGAAAUUCAAGCUGGUUUGGGAUACCAAAUCUAAUAAUAAUGACAUUGAAAAGAAUCUUCUAUGGGCUAAAGUACUUUGCAAAGGUGAAUAAACACAUUGUGUUUGGUAAAGCGCAACUCAUGAUUUGUGCAUUUGGGAAGAGAAUGCCAGCCUUCUGGCACAGAACAAACACAGCCCUGAUUGUACUUGGAGCUCUUCCUGAACCAUGACAGGCAGUGGCAUCCCAGAACACCACCAACUCAGCUGAAGCAGUCCUGAAGAAAUGUUACCUUUUACCUUAGUAUUUGUGUGCUAUCCUGAACAGAGCCAUAACAACGGGCAGAAAUGACCCCUCUGAACACAGCAGUGCUGACCUAUUUCAGACCUUGUAAAUGAUAUGCAUAAUUUAUCUGCCACUUCUUUAACCAGUUGAAGUCAAGCAUCAGUGCCCAUAGCAAGUUACUAUUUCAACAAAGAGUUUCAGCUGUGCCUCAUUUUGCUGUUGUCCCAUGUUAUUUACUUACUUCUGGGGGGAAUUAUCUCUCCACGUGGAAGAAACCAGCAGUGAUGGCAUUCCUAUUUAAAAGCUUUGUGAAAAUAUCUACUGAGAGAUAGCCCAUUUAUCCCUGGUUGUUUUGCCAUGUUCCUGAUUACCUCAGCCAAAACCACUUUUUAAUUUCAUCACUGGCGGUGAGACUGUGGAGACAAUCUUUACAAUAAUCACUCCUUAAUGCUGUUUUGUUCUUAUUCCCAUGCAAGUCUGUUCAUCUCCAUGUGGAAGAUUAUGAGGCAAGGUUAAUAACUAAAUGUCUAUGAGCAUUCCAUAGCUGGAGCCUACUUAACCUGCAACAAAUACCCAAGCAAAUACCCAUAAGCUUGUAUGUUAGCCAGGAAUGCAGAGACAGAACACUGGGUUUGUCACUAAAUGAGACAUUCCCCAUUACUUCUGAUUAUUCAUAAAUCUAGGUUAGUAAUUUUUUUGGAAAGUGGUGUUUGUCCGGAAACUGGAAUCUGUAAUCACUGUUUAUAUACCAGUCAUACUAAAAAGGAUAUUUUGCCAUAUGAAGUAUAUACUUCUUAGGCUUGAUUGAAUUCAGCUUGAUUGAACUCAGUGCUCUCGAAAUCAGUCUGUCAGGCUUGAUUCAAAUUUCUCAGCUUUAGCAGCAACUAUUUGGACCAUUCACUCCGGUUACUUUCAGAGAGGAACAUAAAUCACCUGGCAAGGAUGCAUUAAGCCUUCAAAAUGUAAAUGAUGAAGCAAAGCAAUGGGUGUAACUUAAUCAGAAAAUACAAUUUUAAUAAAAUAUGCAUGGAAAAUUGGGUCAUAUGCCCUAAUUAGAGAUUUAAGGGAACUGAAGAAUAAAUAGGUUCCUGAGAUGCUCUAAGGGGACAAAUAAAAAUAGAGCUAUGAAUUGCUGCAAUUCUUAUUUUCCUUGUGCUGUCAGCCCACUCCAGUUCCUGCAUGAGGAAGCUAUAGUUAGUCUUCACAUGCACUGAACACCAUGUGCUUACAAGUACAUUGUUCUGUCAUUCCUGUGGUCACCUACUCUCUCUUCUGGUACCACAUACCCAUUCCUCAAUAUCUGCAGCUAUUUUUGUCACUACUGAAUGUGUCUGAGGGACUACUGCUCCAGUCAGCUUAUACAAACAAAGGCAAGAAAAAAAUGUUUUUCCUGCAACUGAAAUGCAAAACAUGCCACAUUUUUAAUGCACCUUUUGUCAUAGUCACCACUUAAUACAUUAUCCAAAUCUUGGCUUACACCUGCAAAGACAAAGAGGGAAAAGACAUACACGUGAUAUUUGCCAUCCUAAACUGUAGGGAUCUCAAUGGAAUGCCAAAACACCAGCCACACACUUAAACGGAGUGUGAAUAAAAUUAAGGCUGUCAGAACAUAGAUGUGUUUUAGUCUUUCUUCCUGUGAGAGGUAACUAAUUUUCAGCAUUGACUAGAAUUUUCCCUGAUAGAAUAAACUCAGUUUUUGUCAACACUCUAUUUUCUUUUUAGUCCUUGUGUCUAAUUUCUCCCCUAGGAAUUUGUUCUAGGAUUCAGACAAACAUUUUUCAGAUGUUUGUAAAGGGCACAGGAUGAAUUCAGAGCCUCCUUUUUGUAGUCACAAUGCCCUUCUGGACCAAGAGUCCAUGGCACAAGUGAGCUCACCUUUUUCCUAAGCCUUUCCAAAAGGCAUUCACAGGCCAUGCACACUGCUGAGCCUGAUGCCACAGAGGCUUCUUAAGUGACUGCACCUAAGGGGUUGGUAAAAUAAACCACUGGAAGACACAGGAGAAUGCCAGUAAGUCCUUCACUCCAUCCCAGAGCUGGAAUGUCAGGCCAUUUUGUCUUUCCACAGAGCCACUACACAAAAGCCCUCAGCCUUCAAGGAGGCUUCACCCCUUGUUCAGACAUUCAGGGUACCACCCAAAGCAUAUGAUAACUGAACAUGAUUUGCAUAGCAUUUUUUUUUAUAUUUAGUUGGUUAAAUUACAGGAUUUUGCACAAUUGAAGUUGUUAAAGUAGAAAAUACAUCUUUUAGUAUAGCUUAAAAAUACAAUUUUGAAAUACCAAACACAUGUACUUGUUAUUUUUCCUUAGUUAUCAUUAAACUAACAAUAGUUGCUCUUAUUCUUAUAUUUAACCCAGAAAGGUAUGGCCUUAACAAAUUCCAAGACUGUCUACUGGAUAUCAAAUUCUGGACAAAAACAUUUGCCAUCAUGCAAUAGUGCCCAGCAAUUAAGACAGAUAAGGAUUCUAAUUCAUUAUCUCAUAGAACUAUUGUGUAACUCCAGAGACGUUGAUGAGCACAAAAAUUUCACACUAAGGAUGGCAAAUACAAACAUAAAAGGACUUGUGAACUAAAGUGAGAAACUAUGAAAAUUAAUUCUUUUUAUGAACAUUGAAAUGAAAAUAUACCCGAUAGGAAGAGAAGUAUUUGUUCUCAAACUCAGUGCUCUCUUGCAAGAGGAUUUAAAAAAAUCUAUGAAUAUUUAAGAGAAAGGAAUCAACUCACCCUGAUUUUCCUACAUUUAUAAUGCAUGACUAGUAUUAACAUAUUUUUGCCCAUAUGGAAAAAACAAACAAAUAGAAAUGCUAGAGACAUAGAGAUACAUGCUGUUUUCUUUUUUUUUUUUUAAUAAUAUUUGCUAUUGAUGCAUAAAAUCACAAAAGAUGUACCUGUAAAUCAACAAAUAUUUUAUUUCCAAGGAAAAACAGUAACAUCAUUAGUUCAGGGAAAUUCAGGGGUCAUUUGAAUCAUAGACCAAAUACCAACUGACUUCAGCGACAGGAGGAAAUGGCUUUAGGGGUUAAUCCAUCAAGUUACAUUGUGGUCUAGAAUAAUAAUUAAAUUUUAGUUGUAAGCAGUAUCAGUAUCAUUGUGUAUUCAAUUUUCUGCUUGUUCUUUUCUUCACCUUAUGUGUACUGAUUACACAUGACCAGGUCAUGAAUCCCUCAAGCCAAAGGAACACAGAAUCUGCAUUGGCUGAUUUCAGUUCUAAGACCGAAAUCAGUUACUCAGCAGGUAAGGAAACAACAGAAAAAAUAAUUGUAAAUAUUCUUUAGUACCUUGUUAGAAAUAGACUGUACUAUUCCUAAAAGUUGUGAGUAGUGAGUUUUGAGAUAGAUGGAGUUAGAGAGAGUUUUAAGAUAUUAAAAGAGGGAGUAUCAGUGUGAAAAAACCCCAAAACGUGGAAUUUGGAGCUGUGUGUGUGGGGAGGGUGGUUGAAAGGCAAGACAGUACCAGUUUAAUUCCUUGUUAGGUGUAUUGUAUGAUGGUGGGUUUUUAGCAUGAUUAAACCCUUAUUUAAGGCAGGGCAGGCAGAGUUUGGCAGUAGAUCUUGGAGAUAAAGAGAGCUGUUCUGCUCUGGGAAGUGGAGGGGAACCUGAAAGCAGUGGAAGAAUACUGGAUUUGCUCU